AGUGAACGCUGGCGGUAGGCCUAACACAUGCAAGUCGAACGGCAGCACAGGAGAGCUUGCUCUCUGGGUGGCGAGUGGCGGACGGGUGAGGAAUACAUCGGAAUCUACUUUUUCGUGGGGGAUAACGUAGGGAAACUUACGCUAAUACCGCAUACGACCUACGGGUGAAAGCAGGGGACCUUCGGGCCUUGCGCGAUUGAAUGAGCCGAUGUCGGAUUAGCUAGCUGGCGGGGUAAAGGCCCACCAAGGCGACGAUCCGUAGCUGGUCUGAGAGGAUGAUCGGCCACACUGCAACUGGGACACGGCCCAGACUACUAAGGGAGGCAGCGGUGGGGAAUAUUGGACAAAGGGCGCAAGCCUGAUCCAGCCAUACCGCGUGGGUGAAGAAGGCCUUCGGGUUGUAAAGCCCUUUUGUUGGGAAAGAAAUCCAGCUGGCUAAUACCCGGUUGGGAUGACGGUACCCAAAGAAUAAGCACCGGCUAACUUCGUGCCAGCCGCCGCGGUAA
rnacentral:rRNA from 1 species